rnacentral:rRNA from 1 species
ACUCCUACGGGAGGGCAGCAGUGGGGAAUAUUGCACAAUGGGCGCAAGCCUGAUGCAGCCAUGCCGCGUGUGUGAAGAAGGCCUUCGGUUGUAAAGCACUUUCAGUCGUGAGGAAGGUAGUGUAGUUAAUAGCUGCAUUAUUUGACGUUAGCGACAGAAGAAGCACCGGCUAACUCCGUGCCAGCAGCCGCGGUAAUACGGAGGGGUGCGAGCGUUAAUCGGAAUUACUGGGCGUAAAGCGCAUGCAGGUGGUUUGUUAAGUCAGAUGUGAAAGCCCGGGGCUCAACCUCGGAAUAGCAUUUGAAACUGGCAGACUAGAGUACUGUAGAGGGGGUAGAAUUUCAGGUGUAGCGGUGAAAUGCGUAGAGAUCUGAAGGAAUACCAGUGGCGAAGGCGGCCCCCUGGACAGAUACUGACACUCAGAUGCGAAGCGUGGGGAGCAAACAGGAUUAGAUACCCUGGUA